GCCCUGGCUUCCUUGCUGGCAGCUGCAAGUGCAAAGCCAGGCCUUUCUCAGAGCUAUCAGGCUCCAGGAUCUUCCUUCGGUGGUUCUGCAGGAGCUGCCAGUUUCCUCCGACCUGCCACAAGACCUGCCGUCAACUUCGGAGGGGCUGCUUCUGGUGGAGCCUACAACCCACCGGUCUCUCCUAUAACUCGCCCUCAGUAUAACUUCAACUAUGCCGUCAACGAUGCCUUUGGUAACGAUUUCGGCCACCAAGAGGGGCGCGAUGGAUACAACACUCAGGGAACCUACUACGUGCAGCUUCCCGACGGUCGUCUGCAGAGGGUCACUUACACUGUCAACGGCGACCAAGGAUACGUGGCUCAGGUGACGUACGAGGGAGUGGCUCAGUACCCUGCCUCCCAGCCGUCUGCCUCUUACUCGCCCGCACCCUCUUAUGGUUAAGAUCUGCAGGCCGAGUGACAUAAUGUGCCGGAUGUUAAUACACAUAUCCUUCUGUUCGUUAUUUUCGAUAUUGAAUGUCACCCUAAAAUAGUAAUAAUAAUUUUGAAUGUAUAUAUA